rnacentral:rRNA from 1 species
AUCCUACGGGGGGCAGCAGUAGGGAAUAUUGCUCAAUGGGGGAAACCCUGAAGCAGCAACGCCGCGUGGAGGAUGAAGGUUUUCGGAUUGUAAACUCCUUUUAUCAGGGACGAUAAUGACGGUACCUGAAGAAAAAGCUCCGGCUAACUACGUGCCAGCAGCCGCGGUAAUACGUAGGGAGCGAGCGUUGUCCGGAAUUACUGGGUGUAAAGGGAGCGUAGGCGGGGCGGCAAGUCAGAUGUGAAAACUGAGGGCUCAACCUUCAGACUGCAUUUGAAACUGCUGUUCUUGAGUGAAGUAGAGGU